GAUCCACAUAGCCCUGAAGCUGGGGCUGGUGAGAAACUGAAGAAUUUAACUUUCUGAUUUGGGGUUUCCCCAUAACAGGAGCCUCUGGCUGAGAGUCAUCUUCAAGGUAUACAACUUGAAACUGGCCAUUUGGAAAGAACGUGGUGAAACUGAGUUACAACAGACACAGUCUGGUGGGAGUUGGGACAUGGCAGCUCCAGUCCAGACGGCAC
rnacentral:lncRNA from 1 species